GUCUAUGACCAUAUCACUCUGAACACUCCCAGUCUCAUCUGAUCUUGGAAGCUAUGUGGGGUCGGGCCUGGUUAGUACUUGGAUGGGAGAUCACCAGGGAGUACCUGGGUUCUGUAGGCU
rnacentral:rRNA from 1 species